GACAGAGGCCUCGAGCGUUAGGCGGAAUCACUGGGCUUAAAGCGUGUGUAGGCGGGCCCGUAAGUGUCUUGUGAAAUCCCACGGCUCAACCGUGGAACUGCUGGGCAUACUGCGGGUCUUGGGCCAACUAGGGGCAGCCGGAACAAGCGGUGGAGCGGUGAAAUGCGUAGAUAUCGCUUGGAACGCCGAAGGUGAAAACAGGCUGCUGGGAUUGCGCCGACGCUGAGACACGAAAGCCAGGGGAGCAAACGGG
rnacentral:rRNA from 1 species